UCCCCGCCGCUCCCCGCCGCUCCCCGCCGCUCCCCGCCGCUCCCCGCCGCUCCCCGCCGCUCCCCGCCGCUCCCCGCCGCUCCCCGCCGCUCCCCGCCGCUCCCCGCGUUUCUGGGAGAGGCUGCAGCACAGACACUCGCACAGAGGAGAGACCACUCAGCCUGGGAGAAGAGAUGGCUCUUCAGUCUCACUGGAGCGCGGCUGGAGCCAGGGAUGGGGCUGCCUGCCUUGGGCUGGGUGGAAGGGGGCAGCAAGGGAGCUGUGCUGAGCACAGAGGCAAGAUGCACCCAGCUGCUGGUGGUGAUUCGUCCCAGAGCCACGGAGACGCCCUCUCGGACAGCGUCCCCACGCAGCACCAUGCCGGCCUUGUUGCCGACUGUCUCCUGGACUCCAAGGACCAUCUUCCACUGCAUGGCUGGGCAGCUUCCCACUCGGAGCUGCUGCACUGGGCAGGCUCCCUGGCAGCGGCGCUGACCUGCACCUAAGUGCAACACAAUCAGUACCAGGUACAGGAGAGCGGUGGGUAUUUCGCCUGAGGCUUCCCCCUUUCUGAGGACUGUCUUUACUUUGGAAAAGGUGCAAAGCUACUAUGGAAAAUGAAGAGCCUGUGGCACGUCCCUCCUCAGCAGGCACAGCCCUCCAGCUCACUGCUCUGGGUCAGCAGCCAACCUCCCUCUGGGCAGAGAGGAUGGAACACAUGGUAUUUCAAAAUCUGUCCGUUUUCAGUGAAACAAAUCACAUAAAAAUUCAAA